rnacentral:rRNA from 1 species
AUGGAUGGGAGUGAGAUUGGUGGCAAUGUGUGUGGGUCUCUAGAUGAGUGGCUGCACCCGCUGCCUUCAAGUCAAGAAUUGGAAAAUCCAGAGCACAUGAUACCAAUAUAUGAGAAGCACAAGCAGUUGUAUGCAGCACAAGUGAAGAAUGUUCUGACAUCAUUUGGUCAACUUAUGCAGUCAAAGUUCUGUAAGCGCGUAGCAUCUAUCUUGGUCGAAGCAAACUCCACCGCAGCAAGUACCAAGGAGCAGAUCUUCGAAAAUGUUACUUUUCAUGCUCCAGCAGGCAAUGCAGGCAGUGCAGCCAACGCAACAGGUGUAGAUCAAACCAGGGCUCCCACCCACACUAGCCCUGCACCCCACAUGAGUCCUGCAGCACAAGAAUGUGAGGUUGAAAAGGAAGUUGCAGGUUGUUCUGAGACCAACCAGAAUGGAGAUCAUCAAGACAUUGGUUUGGAUGGAAGUGAGAGUUGCGAUAAACUUGGGAAGGAAGAUGUGCAUCUGGGACACGAUAAGGGGGAACGGGAGGAGAUGGUAGUUCCUGAAGUUAUUGAGGGAGAUUCGAAAGUGUCAGGUGUUGGUGGCGAGGGUGAGAGGGUGAUUUUAUCACAGGGUACAAUUGCUGCGUUGGAAGGGCUUGCAUUGGAAUUUGAUGAUGGUCCUUCUUGUAGUCUGUUCAAAGAGGGAACUGAAGACUACGAAUGGUUCAACAUGGAUGCUGAGACCGCAAGGAAAUUUGUGAAAACUCGAAAUCGCCUUGGGCCCCCCUGA